GGAGAGAUGGCAGAGUGGUCGAAUGCACUGGUCUUGAAAACCAGCGUACCGCAAGGUACCGGGGGUUCGAAUCCCUCUCUCUCCG
rnacentral:tRNA from 2 species